CGCGUGGGUACCUGCCUCACACUGGGGGAUAACAGUUAGAAAUAGCUGCUAAUACCGCAUAAGUCCGCAUGGAAAAAACUCCGGUGGUGUGAGAUGGACCCGCGUCUGAUUAGCCAGUUGGCGGGGUAACGGCCCACCAAAGCGACGAUCAGUAGCCGGCCUGAGAGGGUGAACGGCCACAUUGGGACUGAGACACGGCCCAAACUCCUACGGGAGGCAGCAGUGGGGAAUAUUGCACAAUGGGGGAAACCCUGAUGCAGCGACGCCGCGUGAGUGAAGAAGUAUUUCGGUAUGUAAAGCUCUAUCAGCAGGGAAGAAGUGACGGCACCUGAAUAAGAAGCCCCGGCUAACUACGUGCCAGCAGCCGCGGUAAUACGUAGGGGGCAAGCGUUAUCCGGAUUUACUGGGUGUAAAGGGAGCGUAGACGGCAAGGCAAGUCUGAAGUGAAAGCCCGGUGCUUAACGCCGGGACUGCUUUGGAAACUGUUUAGCUGGAGUGCCGGAGAGGUAAGCGGAAUUCCUAGUGUAGCGGUGAAAUGCGUAGAUAUUAGGAAGAACACCAGUGGCGAAGGCGGCUUACUGGACGGUAACUGACGUUGAGGCU
rnacentral:rRNA from 1 species